GUGAGGAAUAUUGGUCAAUGGACGGAAGUCUGAACCAGCCAUGCCGCGUGAAGGAUGAAGGCGUUCUGCGUUGUAAACUUCUUUUAUCAGAGAAGAAACCACUGAUUUCUAUUAGUGUUGACGGUAUCUGAUGAAUAAGCACCGGCUAACUCCGUGCCAGCAGCCGCGGUAAUACGGAGGGUGCAAGCGUUAUCCGGAUUUACUGGGUUUAAAGGGUGUGUAGGCGGGCUAUUAAGUCAGGGGUGAAAUCCCGGGGCUCAACCUCGGAACUGCCUUUGAUACUAUUAGUCUUGAAUUAUGUUGAGGUUGGCGGAAUAUAACAUGUAGCGGUGAAAUGCAUAGAUAUGUUAUAGAACACCGAUUGCGAAGGCAGCUGGCUAAACAUAUAUUGACGCUGAGGCACGAAAGCGUGGGUAGCGAACAGGAUUAGAAACCCUAGUAGUCC
rnacentral:rRNA from 1 species